GAGGGUGUAGCUCAGUGGUAGAGCACAUGCUUAGCACGCAUGAAGUCCUGGGUUCAGUCCUCAGUACCUCCA
rnacentral:tRNA from 1 species